UACGUAGGGUCCGAGCGUUGUCCGGAAUUAUUGGGCGUAAAGGGCUCGUAGGCGGUUUGUCGCGUCGGGAGUGAAAACCUACAGCUUAACUGUGGGCUUGCUUUCGAUACGGGCAGACUUGAGGCAUGCAGGGGAGAACGGAAUUCCUGGUGUAGCGGUGAAAUGCGCAGAUAUCAGGAGGAACACCGGUGGCGAAGGCGACACGCUGGGCCGUACCUGACACUGAUGCGCGACAGCAUGGGGAGCAAACAGG
rnacentral:rRNA from 1 species